UACGUAGGGGGCAAGCGUUGUCCGGAUUUAUUGGGCGUAAAGAGCGUGUAGGCGGCCCGGUAAGUCCGCUGUGAAAGUCCAGGGCUCAACCCUGGGAUGCCGGUGGAUACUGUCGGGCUCGAGUCCGGAGGAGGAGUGUGGAAUUCCUGGUGUAGCGGUGAAAUGCGCAGAUAUCAGGAGGAACACCAGCGGCGAAGGCGGUG
rnacentral:rRNA from 1 species